CUCCCUUCCGUCCGAAACUAAAACUGCAGCGUUUGAUUCCAACAAUGUUGUGGUAUUCAAUUGGACCACAGUGAAACCCAUGCUUAGCUAUUCCUCUUAAGGGCAUUGUCUCAAAGAUGUUAACCUUAAUAAAGUCAAAAGCAACAAAGGCAUUCC